rnacentral:rRNA from 1 species
AUGGCCGCCACAUCGAUCCCCUCCGCAUAUAACUGCGCCAACACGGACCCUAGCUAUCCCUCGCCCGUUCCCAUCUCUUUCCCCAUCAAGCCACCUCCUCCUCGGCUCGGAAACAAGCUCGAAAUCCCGCGUGUGUCGUCGCCGUUGCCGUGGCCAGUGUGCACCCCACCGCCUGAAAAUACGUCCAGGAGAAUCGCCAUCGUCUUCCCCGUGCACCAAAUCGAGUCGGGGCGGCCGGUACGCUCGCCAUCGACCUCGUCUUCACCGCGUACAUCGCCGACGUCCGCCGUCGAUUGCCGUCGCUCCAGCCCACCCCCAGUCUUCUCGAGCUCGACUACAGCACCGCGAUGCAGGGCCCGAUGA